AAGCUAUAUAAGUUGAUUAAGAAAAAAAAAGAUAUUUUAUCAUCUUCUUCAACUUUCUCUUCUAUAGCCGAAUGUGAGAACUAAAAACAAGGGUUUGGGUUUCAAGCUUUACCUCAUCGAUUGAUUGACGUGAGGUCGGCGGAUCGGAUCAACACAUCAGGGUUCAUUAUCCAGAUUACUCCGAUUUUGGAUGUCCAAAAUGUGUCGAUCGAAUCAGUGAGAAACUCACGCCUAUCAUUUAAUUUCGGUAGAAUUUUGAUAUUUUGAAGCUGGUUACUUGUGGCAUGUAUAUAGGAUAGUUAAUCUUUGCAAUGAUAGUGAUCAUGUUUUGGCAAAUUAGUUUUGGAUACAAGCUUAUAUUUGUAACUUAGUUGUGUUAUGUGGUUGGUACCAAUUUGACAAUUAGAAAGUUUAUGAUAAUGGUAAAGACUUGUAUGAUAUUAUGCUUAUGAAAUAGGUUGUGAUAUGAAAUGGUUAAAAACUUUUAUAUGAAUUGUAUUUGAAUUGAAUUUAUUGAA